rnacentral:rRNA from 1 species
AUUGAACGCUGGCGGCAGGCCUAACACAUGCAAGUCGAACGAGUGGCGGACGGGUGAGUAAUGUCUGGGAAACUGCAUGAUGGAGGGGGAUAACUACUGGAAACGGUGGCUAACACCGCAUACCAUGAUAUCGGCCCAGAUGGGAUUAGCGAGUUGGUGGGGUAACGGCUCACCAAGGCGACGAUCCCUCGCUGGUCUGAGAGGAUGACCAGCCACACUGGAACUGAGACAAGGUCCAGACUCCUACGGGAGGCAGCAGUGGGGAAUAUUGCACAAUGGGCGAAAGCCUGAUGCAGCCAUGCCGCGUGUAUGAAGAAGGCCUUCGGGUUGUAAAGUACUUGCAGCGGGGAGGCGUUACCCGCAGAAGAAGCACCGGCUAACUCCGUGCCAGCAGCCGCGGUAAUUC